CCUACGGGAGGCAGCAGUGAGGAAUAUUGGUCAAUGGGCGCGAGUCUGAACCAGCCAAGUCGCGUGAGGGAUGACGGUCCUAUGGAUUGUAAACCUCUUUUGUCAGGGAGCAAAGCGCGCUACGUGUGUUCCUUUGCGAGUACCUUACGAAUAAGCAUCGGCUAACUCCGUGCCAGCAGCCGCGGUAAUACGGAGGAUCCGAGCGUUAUCCGGAUUUAUUGGGUUUAAAGGGUGCGUAGGCGGAAUGCCAAGUCAGCGGUAAAAUCGCGGGGCUCAACCCGGAUCCGCCGUUGAAACUGGUGUUCUUGAGUGGGCGAGAAGUAGGCGGAAUGCGUGGUGUAGCGGUGAAAUGCAUAGAUAUCACGCAGAACUCCGAUUGCGAAGGCAGCAUACCAAGGCACAACUGACGCUGAAGCACGAAAGCGUGGGUAGCGAACAGGAUUAGAUACCCGAGUAGUC
rnacentral:rRNA from 1 species